rnacentral:rRNA from 1 species
AACGAACGCUGGCGGCGUGCCUAACACAUGCAAGUCGAGCGCGAACGGAGCAAUCCUAGUAGAGCGGCGCACGGGUGCGUAACACGUGGGUAAUCUGCCUGGGAGUCCGGAACAACCUGCCGAAAGGCAAGCUAACGCCGGAUAAGCCCACAGGAUCUUCGGAUCUGGUGGGAAAAGAUGGCCUCUAUUUAUAAGCUAUCUCUUCCAGAUGAGCCCGCGGCCCAUCAGCUAGUUGGCGGGGUAAUGGCCCACCAAGGCAACGACGGGUAGCUGGUCUGAGAGGACGAUCAGCCACACUGGAACUGAGACACGGUCCAGACUCCUGCGGGAGGCAGCAGUGGGGAAUUUUGCGCAAUGGGCGAAAGCCUGACGCAGCAACGCCGUGUGUGUGUGAUGAAGGUUUUCGGAUCGUAAAGCACUUUCGACCGGGAAGAAACCGCAUUGGCUAACAUCCAAUGCUCUGACGGUACCGGGAGAAGAAGCACCGGCUAACUCUGUGCCAGCCGCCGCCGUAAGAC